GGUUAAGCGACUAAGCGUACACGGUGGAUGCCCUGGCAGUCAGAGGCGAUGAAGGACGUGCUAAUCUGCGAAAAGCGUCGGUAAGGUGAUAUGAACCGUUAUAACCGGCGGUGUCCGAAUGGGGAAACCCAGUGCAAUUCGUUGCACUAUCGUUAACUGAAUACAUAGGUUAACGAGGCGAACCGGGGGAACUGAAACAUCUAAGUACCCCGAGGAAAAGAAAUCAACCGA
rnacentral:rRNA from 1 species